GAUGAACGCUGGCGGCGUGCCUAAUACAUGCAAGUCGAGCGAACAGACGAGGAGCUUGCUCCUCUGACGUUAGCGGCGGACGGGUGAGUAACACGUGGAUAACCUACCUAUAAGACUGGGAUAACUUCGGGAAACCGGAGCUAAUACCGGAUAAUAUAUUGAACCGCAUGGUUCAAUAGUGAAAGACGGUUUUGCUGUCACUUAUAGAUGGAUCCGCGCCGCAUUAGCUAGUUGGUAAGGUAACGGCAUACCAAGGCAACGAUGCGUAGCCGAGCUGAGAGGGUGAUCGGCCACACUGGACCGGAAACGCGGUCCAGACCCCUACGGGAGGCGGCAGUAGGGAAUCGUCCGCAAUGGGCGAAAGCCUGACGGAGCAGCGCCGCGUGAGUGAUGAAGGGCUUCGGUUCGUAAUACUCUGUUAUGAGGGAAGAACAAAUGUGUAAGUAACUAUGCACGUCUUGACGGUACCUAACCAGAAAGCCACGGCUAACUACGUG
rnacentral:rRNA from 1 species